GAUUAAGUUAUUAAGGGCGCACGGUGGAUGCCUUGGCACUAGAAGCCGAUGAAGGACGUUACUAACAACGAUAUGCUUUGGGGAGCUGUAAGUAAGCUUUGAUCCAGAGAUUUCCGAAUGGGGAAACCCAGCAUGAGUUAUGUCAUGUUAUCGAUAUGUGAAUACAUAGCAUAUCAGAAGGCACACCCGGAGAA
rnacentral:rRNA from 1 species